rnacentral:rRNA from 1 species
AGCGAACGCUGGCGGCAGGCCUAACACAUGCAAGUCGAGCGCUCAUCUUCGGAUGGGAGCGGCGCACGGGUGAGUAACACGUGGGAACCAACCUUGAAGUAUGGAAUAACUGAGGGAAACUUCAGCUAAUACCGUAUACGCCCUACGGGGGAAAGAUUUAUCGCUUCAAGACGGGCCCGCGUUGGAUUAGCUGGUUGGUGAGGUAAUGGCUCACCAAGGCGACGAUCCAUAGCUGAUUUGAGAGAAUGAUCAGCCACACUGGGACUGAGACACGGCCCAGACUCCUACGGGAGGCAGCAGUGGGGAAUAUUGGACAAUGGGCGCAAGCCUGAUCCAGCCAUGCCGCGUGAGUGAUGAAGGCCUUCGGGUUGUAAAGCUCUUUCAGAUGGGACGAUGAUGACGGUACCAUCAGAAGAAGCCCCGGCUAACUUCGUGCCAGCAGCCGCGGUAAUACGAAGGGGGCUAGCGUUGUUCGGAAUUACUGGGCGUAAAGCGCGCGUAGGCGGCUUUGUCAGUCAGGGGUGAAAUCCCGGGGCUUAACCUCGGAACUGCCUUUGAUACUGCAAGGCUUGAGUCUGUGAGAGGAUGGUGGAAUACCCAGUGUAGAGGUGAAAUUCGU